AUUGAACGCUGGCGGCAGGCCUAACACAUGCAAGUCGGGCGAGUGGCGGACGGGUGAGUAAUGUAUGGGGAUCUGCCUGAUGGAGGGGGAUAACUACUGGAAACGGUAGCUAAUACCGCAUACCAUCAGAUGAACCCAUAUGGGAGUAGCUUGUAGGUAAGGUAACGGCUUACCGAGGCGACGAUCCCUAGCUGGUCUGAGAGGAUGAUCGGCCACCCGGGAACUGAGACACGGUCCAAACUCCUACGGGAGGCAGCAGUGGGGAAGAUGGGACAAUGGGCGAAAGCCUGAUCCAGCCAUGCCGCGUGGGUGAAGAAGGUAUUCGGAUUGUAAAGCACUUUAAGUGGGGAGGCGUUACCAGCAGAAGAAGCACCGGCUAACUCCGUGCCAGCCGCCGCGGUAAUAC
rnacentral:rRNA from 1 species